GUCGCCUUAUUUCCAGACUGACGUAACUCGAUUUUUCGAAAAUAUGGAGUGUUUGGUAUCAUUUUUUUCUGCUCGUCGAGCUCUAGAUGAUGAGACUAUAAGUGUCCCUAUAGAACGUCUAUAAAUGUGUUUAAUUUCAGUUCCAUACUGACGCAUGUCGGGUUUUUGGCUUUCAGUUGAUUUCCAGAGUGACGUUAAAAAUCAACCAAUCGCGUUGUUUUAUUUGGUCGCCAUCUUGGAUUUAGAGCAAUGGCUGUGUUAGAUUUGUGCAGUGACAACAAGUGGAUUUUCUUUAGAAAAACUAGUCGUGCUAGUUGUAUUGUACAAAUAUGCUGAAUUUCGAUGUGCUUCCAGAUGAACUAAUACUGAAUGUUUUCAUAUACACUGACCUACAACACCUUCUCCAGUCUGUAAAUAGAGUGUGUCAUAAGUUCAACGAUGUGAUAAAGAAGCACUCAAUACUAUGGUGCCAUUUCGAGUUUCCUGAACAACUGGAAUUGAAUAAAACCAAUUUGGAAAAUAUUCUGUCUCAUUCUGUGAGGAUUGUUGAUCUGUUCAUGCCAUGUACUGUUUUUAAAUGUAAAAUACCAGAAAUCGACAAAGUGUUUGCUGCAUCCAUGUUUACGUACUUGGACCACCUAAAUAUCAGUGAAGCUCCGAUUUCAACGCUUUGUUGGUUAUACAAUGCACCAAAUAUUCGUGUAUUAGACCUCUCAGGUUGCAGUCUUCUCGUUGAUGAAGAUUUGCGCUUAUUACUGCAUUUGGCAUGAAGCUAUUAGUGGUAGAGGAGCAAACGAUACUGCCAGUGCAGUAGUUACAAUCCUCAAAGAUAUUAAACGUGUUCACGCUGAAAUUACUUCAUUCAUAUUGUGGUCUGAUGCAUGUGUUCCUCAGAACAAGAACUCUGUUAUGUCGUUUGCACUCAAGAGAUUCAUGGAGGACAAUAAUAUUGAGUCAAUGUACAAAAAUUUUGUGCUUUGAAGUAUGCUUUAAAAGCCAAUGUGACAGAAUGUUUUGCGUUUGACUUGUUGCUAAGACUUUUUCUGAAAAUGUGUGUCUUUUAGUGGUUACCAGUUUGGUAUGUUUGUGAUUGACAUUUUGCAAAACUCUUUUGGUUAGUCUUUAAAUCCAAUGUUUUCAAGGAGGUGACAGUUUAAAAAUUGUACACAAUGUACUCUGAUUGUACACAAUCAUAAUCAACAUACAUUAUUCUAGACAAUAAUGGUGUUUAGUCCGUUUUACAUGUACCAGUUAAAUCUGUUUUGUGUUAGACUUUUUGCAAAGACAUUGUGAGGUAAAUUUAUAUGUGUUUUGAACAGUUUUAAAAGUUUAAUAUGUUUGUGUUUGACUUCUUGAAGAGACUUAUUAUGAUAAGUACACGCUAUGAACAUUUUAACUGGACAGACAAACAGUUUUUUAUUGACAUUAUAUUUUUUUCGAUAGUUAAAAGUGGGUGAUUUAAGCAGUAUUCAUACUUGAAUCUAGAAAUUAAUGAAUAUGAAGAACUUGUAUGAUACUAUCAAAAUAUCAAUUUGCGCUUUUGAUUAUGCUUUAGAACUAAAGUAUCAGGUAAGGUGACUGGUUUUAGUACACAUUAUCAAUAGUGUAAUUAUGCUCUUAAUAUUUUAACUUUUUAUACAAGUUUCCAUGUUUUGUUUCAGACUUUUGGCAAUUACUUUUUAAGAUAAAUAAUUAUGUGCUUCGAACAAUUUUGUUUUGAAUUCCAAUACAAAGUGUUUAUAAUUUCUCUAUUGACCAUUCAAUAUCUCAGUAUAUCAGAGAGAUGGAUUUUUAAUAAAACUACUUAAUACUUACCAAUGCAUCAUGUUAAGUAAAAUAAUAAUCCCAUUCAGUGGAUACUAUUAUUUAAUUGAAUUUUCAAUUCAAAAUUUAACUAAGAAAGGUUUCAUCUCUGAAUUUUAUUUUUUUUAAAUAUCAAAACGUUUAUAUAAUAAUGUGCACUGUUUUAUUGUUUCUGGAAUAAAGUUACGUCAAAAUUA